rnacentral:rRNA from 1 species
UACGAAGGGGGCUAGCGUUGCUCGGAAUCACUGGGCGUAAAGGGUGCGUAGGCGGGUCUUUAAGUCAGAGGUGAAAUCCUGGAGCUCAACUCCAGAACUGCCUUCGAUACUGGAAGACUUGAGUCCGGGAGAGGUGAGUGGAACUGCGAGUGUAGAGGUGAAAUUCGUAGAUAUUCGCAAGAACACCAGUGGCGAAGGCGGCUCACUGGCCCGGUACUGACGCUGAGGUGCGAAAGCGUGGGGAGCAAACAGG